rnacentral:rRNA from 1 species
CAGCUAGUUGGCGGGGUAACGGCCCACCAAGGCGAAGAUCGGUAUCCGGCCUGAGAGGGCGCACGGACACACUGGAACUGAAACACGGUCCAGACUCCUACGGGAGGCAGCAGUGGGGAAUUUUGCGCAAUGGGGGAAACCCUGACGCAGCAACGCCGCGUGGAGGAUGAAGCCCCUUGGGGCGUAAACUCCUUUCGACCAAGACGAUAAUGACGGUACUGGUGGAAGAAGCGCCGGCUAACUCUGUGCCAGCAGCCGCGGUAAUACAGAGGGUGCGAGCGUUGUUCGGAAUUAUUGGGCGUAAAGGGUGCGUAGGCGGUUUGACAAGUCUUAUGUGAAAUCUUCGGGCUCAACCCGAAGUCUGCAUGAGAAACUGUUGAGCUUGAGUAUUGGAGAGGUGAGUGGAAUUUCCGGUGUAGCGGUGAAAUGCGUAGAUAUCGGAGGGAACACCUGUGGCGAA